GACGAACGCUGGCGGCGCGCCUAACACAUGCAAAUCGAACGAGGUCUUUUGAGAAAGCUUGCUUUCUUGGCUGACCUAGUGGCGGACGGGUGAGUAACACGUGAGCAACCUGCCUUUCAGAGGGGGAUAACGUUUGGAAACGAACGCUAAUACCGCAUAACGUAUCGGAGUGGCAUCGCUUUGGUACCAAAGGAGAAAUCCGCUGGAAGAUGGGCUCGCGCCCGAUUAGGUAGUUGGUGAGGUAAUGGCUCACCAAGCCGACGAUCGGUAGCCGGACUGAGAGGUUGAGCGGCCACAGUGGGACUGGGACACGGCCCAGACUCCUACGGGAGGCAGCAGUGGGGGAUAUUGCACAAUGGGGGAAACCCUGAUGCAGCGACGCCGCGUGAGGGAAGAAGGUUUUCGGAUUGUAAACCUCUGUCUUUGGGGAAGAGUAGAAGACGGUACCCAAGGAGGAAGCCACGGCUAACUACGUGCCAGCCGCCGCGGUAAAAC
rnacentral:rRNA from 1 species